rnacentral:rRNA from 1 species
UACGUAGGGAGCAAGCGUUGUUCGGAAUUACUGGGCGUAAAGGGCUCGUAGGCGGCCAACUAAGUCGGACGUGAAAUCCCUCAGCUUAACUGGGGAACUGCGUCCGAUACUGGAUGGCUUGGAUUUGGGAGAGGGAUGCGGAAUUCCAGGUGUAGCGGUGAAAUGCGUAGAUAUCUGGAGGAACACCGGUGGCGAAGGCGGCAUCCUGGACCAAUAUUGACGCUGAGGAGCGAAAGCCAGGGGAGCAAACGGG